rnacentral:rRNA from 1 species
UACAGAGGGGGCAAGCGUUGUUCGGAAUUACUGGGCGUAAAGGGCGCGUAGGCGGCCUGCUAAGUCGAACGUGAAAUCCCCGGGCUCAACCCGGGAACUGCGUCCGAUACUGGCAGGCUUGAAUCCGGGAGAGGGAUGCGGAAUUCCAGGUGUAGCGGUGAAAUGCGUAGAUAUCAGGAGGAACACCGGUGGCGAAGGCGGGUCUCUGGGCCGUAACUGACGCUGAGGAGCGAAAGCAUGGGGAGCGAACAGG